rnacentral:lncRNA from 1 species
UCAAAAUAAGCGGUAAACAAGAAUGAAUUUAACAACAUUCAGAUCUCACCUUCAGAUCUUACCUUUAAUAUUUUUUCGAUUUUAGAUUAUUUUCCGUAAACCUGAUGGCGAAUAUGAACAUUAAAGGGAGUAAACGUAAAGGCAGAGAAAACAAAAUAUCGUUUGAAAACCUUAAGUUAAAGGACGUUAUGUUUGAAGCGUUACAAGACAGGUAUACCGUUAGU